UGUGGGAGCGAGCCUGCUCGCGAUGGCGUCGGGUCAGUCAGCUUGGAUGUGACUGAUACUCCGCCAUCGCGAGCAGGCUCGCUCCCACA
rnacentral:misc_RNA from 1 species